ACGUGAUGGCAUGCGAAUCUCGAAAGCCUAUCUCAGUUCGGAUUGGAGGCUGAAACCCGCCUCCAUGAAGUUGGAUUCGCUAGUAAUCGCGCAUCAGCCAUGGCGCGGUGAAUACGUUCCCGGGCCUUGUACACACCGCCCGUCAAGCCAUGGGAGCCGGGGGUACCUGAAGUCCGUAACCGCGAGGAUCGGCCUAGGGUAAAACUGGUGACUGGGGCUAAGUCGUAACAAGGUAUC
rnacentral:rRNA from 1 species